CACAGAGGUCCCAAGCGUUGUUCGGAUUCACUGGGCGUAAAGGGUGCGUAGGCGGUCGGGUAAGUCUGAUGUGAAAUCUCACAGCUUAACUGUGAAACUGCAUUGGAUACUAUCCGGCUCGAGGAAUGGAGGGGAGACUGGAAUACUUGGUGUAGCAGUGAAAUGCGUAGAUAUCAAGUGGAACACCAGUGGCGAAGGCGAGUCUCUGGACAUUUCCUGACGCUGAGGCACGAAAGCCAGGGGAGCAAACGGG
rnacentral:rRNA from 1 species